GAUGAACGCUAGCGGCAGGCCUAAUACAUGCAAGUCGAGGGGCAGCGCGGUAGCAAUACUGGCGGCGACCGGCGCACGGGUGCGUAACACGUAUGCAACCUACCUUCAACUGGAGGAUAGCCCGGGGAAACUCGGAUUAAUACUCCAUAACACAGGGAUCCCGCAUGGGAAUAUUGUUAAAGCUACGGCGGUUGAAGAUGGGCAUGCGUUCGAUUAGCUAGUUGGUGUAGGUAACGGCUCACCAAGGCUACGAUCGAUAGGGGGUCUGAGAGGAUGAUCCCCCACACUGGUACUGAGAUACGGACCAGACUCCUACGGGAGGCAGCAGUAGGGAAUAUUGGUCAAUGGGCGCAAGCCUGAACCAGCCAUGCCGCGUGCAGGAAGAAGGCCCUCUGGGUUGUAAACUGCUUUUGAUAGGGACAAAUGCCACUUGCGAGUGGAGCUGAGUGUACCUAUAGAAUAAGCACCGGCUAAACUCCGUGCCAGCAGCCGC
rnacentral:rRNA from 1 species